AAAGAUCGAAUGGAGAGAUUCAUCGUCAGCGACGCAGGCUCACGAUGGCGAGUGAUGCUACGGGAUUUCGGUCCUGGGGCACGCGGUCGUCGCGUAUGUCCGUCGGCGUCGGCGUGCACUUCUCUCCUAGUAGGACGUCGCGACCCGUUGGGUGCCGGUCUAAGGCCCGGGUGGGCGCCUGUCUCGUCGCUUCGGCGCAUCGAGGCAGACCCCCGGUCGCCAGUUGCCGGCUGCCCGGCGGUACUCGCAUGGUAUCGGGCCGCAAAAUCGAACUGCGUCGGACCCGUCGCAAGCGCGAUCAGUGUUUCACGGAGGUGCGGACCCAGAGCCGUCACCGUGCCUGAUCAGCUGUUGGUCGUACGGUGCCUCUCCGACUGGCCAUAAUACGAUCGAUACCGGUCGGCGACGCUACUGCUUUGGGUAAUCUCAGGACCCGUCUUGAAACACGGACCAAGGAGUCUAACAUGUGCGCGAGUCAUUGGGACCGCAUGCCUAAAGGCGAAAUGAAAGUGAAGGUGGGCCUUUAGCGCCGACCGAGGGAGGAUGGGCCGCGUCAAGAUGCGACUCCGCACUCCCGGGGCGUCUCGUUCUCAUU
rnacentral:rRNA from 1 species